GGCCUCCAAACCUUAAAAAAACUGGCAAUUGGCUUCAUGAUUUAAUAUCCAUUAUCAGAACUUGUCUCCCUGUACGUGAUCAUUAUUAUUUGAAUAUCAAGAAUGUCACUUGAUGUAUUAAAAAGUUAUAAAAUCGCAUUUGGAUUAAUUUUAUCAAGGUUUAAGAUAAUGUUUUUUAAAAUUAUUUUGGUAGGGAAAGGGAAAGGAGAAUUAAGAGAAUAAUUUGAUUGUUAUUUAAAAAAAUGUAAUAGAAUUAUUUUUUUUAAUAAUUGAUUUCGAUUAAGAUUCAAAUUAGGAAUGUUAUAGUUAUAGGAUGAUUCCAAUAUGAU
rnacentral:misc_RNA from 1 species